GGUAAAAUGGCCGAGUGUUAGGCGGCGGAGUGUAGUUCCGAUUACAGGGGUUCAAGUCCUUUUGUUA
rnacentral:tRNA from 1 species